rnacentral:rRNA from 1 species
GAUGAACGCUAGCGGCGUGCUUAACACAUGCAAGUCGAACGAAGCACUUUAUUUGAUUUCCUUCGGGACUGAUUAUUUUGUGACUGAGUGGCGGACGGGUGAGUAACGCGUGGGUAACCUGCCUUGUACAGGGGGAUAACAGUUGGAAACGGCUGCUAAUACCGCAUAAGCGCACAGCAUCGCAUGAUGCAGUGUGAAAAACUCCGGUGGUAUAAGAUGGACCCGCGUUGGAUUAGCUAGUUGGUGAGGUAACGGCCCACCAAGGCGACGAUCCAUAGCCGACCUGAGAGGGUGACCGGCCACAUUGGGACUGAGACACGGCCCAAACUCCUACGGGAGGCAGCAGUGGGGAAUAUUGCACAAUGGGCGAAAGCCUGAUGCAGCGACGCCGCGUGAGCGAAGAAGUAUUUCGGUAUGUAAAGCUCUAUCAGCAGGGAAGAUAAUGACGGUACCUGACGAAGAAGCACCGGCUAAAUACGUG